rnacentral:rRNA from 1 species
AUGGACACACGAAAGUAUUUCUGUCUCUUUUAUAUCAAUAAAAAUUGAAUUAUAGGUGAAGAUGCCUAUAUAUUUUUAAAGGACAAAAAGACCCUAUUGAGCUUUAUUUCUUAUUAAUUAAAAAAGAAAUACCACAAAUUUUUAUUAAAAGGAGAUUCUGUUGGGGCGACAAAGGAACACAAAAAACUUCCAAAAAAAAAAARAAAACACUUCUAUUCAAUGAUCCUUAAUAGCUAAAGAAACCAGCUACCAUAGGGAUAACAGGCUAAUCAUUUUAAAGAGUUCAUAUUGAUAAAAUGGGUUGGCACCUCGAUGUUGGCUUAGGGUAUCCUAUAAGUGC